CAGGAUAAACGCUGGCGGCGUGCGUAACACAUGCAAGUCGAACGAGCUUUGCCUCGCAAGAGGGAGAGCGAGUGGCGGACGGGUGAGGAACACGUGGGCGACCUACCUCAAAGUGAGGGAUACCGGCGAGAAAUUGCCGACAAUACCGCAUAAGCUUUUAUCGGUAGAGAGAGAGAAGCAAAGCCCGCAAGGGUGCUUUGAGAUGGGCCCGCGUCCGAUUAGCUAGUUGGUGGGGUAAGAGCCUACCAAGGCGACGAUCGGUAGCUGGUCUGAGAGGACGAUCAGCCACACUGGGAUUGAGAACGGCCCAGACUCCUACGGGGGGCAGCAGUGAGGAAUUUUCGGCAAUGGGGGCAACCCUGACCGAGCAACGCCGCGUGCAGGAAGAAGGUUUUCGGAUCGUAAACUGCUUUUCUCGGGGAAGAGAACGGACGGUACCCGAGGAAGAAGCCCCGGCUAACUACGUGCCAGCAGCCGCGGUAAUACGUAGGGGGCGAGCGUUGUCCGGAGUUACUGGGCGUAAAGCGCACGCAGGCGGUCGUGUAAGUUUGGGGUGACAGUUCCCGGCUCAACUGGGAAAGGACCUUGAAGACUGCAGGACUUGAGGGCCAGAGAGGGACACAGAAUUCCGGGUGUAGUGGUGAAAUGCGUAGAUAUCCGGAGGAAUACCAAAGGCGAAGGCAGUGUCCUGGCUGGUGUCUGACGCUCAGGUGCGAAAGCUAGGGGAGCGAACGGGAUUAGAUACCCCGGUAGUCCUAGCCGUAAACGAUGACCACUAGGUGUGGGAGGUAUCGACCCCUUCCGUGCCGAAGCUAACGUGAUAAGUGGUCCGCCUGGGGAGUACGGUCGCAAGAUUAAAACUCAAAGGAAUUGACGGGGACCCGCACAAGCAGCGGAGCGUGUGGUUUAAUUCGAAGCAACGCGAAGAACCUUACCAGGGUUUGACAUGGAGUUGCAC
rnacentral:rRNA from 1 species